GAGAGGGGAGGUCUGAGGCAUGGGGAGGAUCAGGACCAGAGUCAGAGAGAAAACUUUCAGCCACAGGGGUUUAUGGAUGCCUCAGGAUAGGUGAGGCUGCUCCCAAGAAGGAGGUCCUGAGGGAGCAGGAGGUGAGCUCAGCUGCACACAGAGGACUCAGUUGGGGAGACUCCCUCAAAAGUGGCAGCCACCCUGAGUCACUAAGUCUGUGACUCACCUCUGGCAGAGAGGAGGCAGGACAAGUAACAAAGCUGGUGCUUCCUGGGAUGUUAUCUGUGGGCCAGUCCCUGGUUUGCAAAUCCCUUCCGUGCAUGAACUUAUCUAAAGCCCUAUGAGGUGGAGCUAGUACCGGCACUAUCCCAUACUGCAGAUGGAGAAAUUGAGGCCCUGUGCGGUGGGGGUUAUUCCAGACUCUUCGGCCAGGACACAGGCAUUUGGCUAAACCUAGUGUUUGUGGCAGGGUCUGUUCUGAUUGGCCGAUGCCUGUCCUACUGGUUAGUCAAUGUUUUGAAGGUCACCCUGGUUACACAGCUGGAGGAGGCAGAAUCCCAACUAACCCCUGGGGCUGGAGCCCUGGUCUGAACCAGGAUCCUCUCUCCGUCUAGCGCCGCAGCGCACCUCAGGACAAGUAAUGUGCGUCGAAGGGCUUUGGAAACUGCAAGGCACAGUAUAAAUAACAGGUUCCUUCAUUCCUCCUGGGCAGGAACUUUGGCCUCAACAGUUCCUUCUUUGUUGAGGCCAAAGAAGCUGGGCCAUGAGAAGGCAGAGGAAACGCUGCUGUGGGGAACCAGCAUUCUCUCUGCUUACUCAACGGGGAAAGUGAGUCAGAAGGGAAGCCUCCCUGAGUGGAGCCCCAUGGUCAGCCCCUGGGAGGUUCUCACGUGCCAGACGCCAUCCGGCACUAACCAGGUUAGCCUGGACUUGUCCCCAGGGCCCGUCCAGGCUCUCCUGCAACUGGCCACCAGGGGGCGCCGCUCCCCCAGCCUUCCUCUUACUGAACCUACCCCCCACCACCCCCCCAACAACCUGCUCGCGAGAAACCAGGCCUUGGAAGGAGUCCCGGGGAGCAGGCACCAGAGACUUUGAAAAGUGGCAAAAACGCGGGAGAUGCUGAGUGGAGCCCUGUGGAGGAGUGCCUGCUCCCAUUUUACAGAUGAGGAAUUUGAGGCCCAAAGAUGUUGGGUAAGAUCAAGAGGCUAGGGACAGGCAGCGCUGCGUCAUUUGCUUCCAAGGUCAGUUCCUAAUGGGACCACAAGCAAAUGCUAGCUCAUUUGGCCCUGUUGCCUAGCGGGGUCUCCCCCCCCGCCCCCCGUUGAUCCUAUGUUCUGAGUCGUGGCCAACACCACAACCUAUUCCCCCACUGUGUUCCAGCAACAAUUCCAGCUGCCCCUUCUCCAACCUGAACUUUCUGGAAGCCUGGGCACCUGCUUCAUUGUUUUCCAGGGACCCCCAUCAGCCACCCAUCCCACACCCUCCCCAUCUGGGCAGAGCCGGGAGCCCCCUCUGCAGCCCUGUCCUGCUUGACAUCCCUUCCCCACCCCAGGGACCCCGCGGGGUCAGGCUUUGCUCCUCGACACCCCACGGUAGGCAGCAGCACGAAUAAACAAUGGGACAUUUGAACCAGGAAGAGCCUGUGGUUGAGGCCAAAACAGGCACCAAGGUUUUCUCUCAGCUCCUACCAACUCCUUUUAUGGCCUCUGGGCCCAGUUCCUUCUUCAUAAAAAGUCAGAACUG